GAUGAAGAACGCAGCGAAAUGCGAUAAGUAAUGUGAAUUGCAGAAUUCAGUGAAUCAUCGAAUCUUUGAACGCACAUUGCGCCCGCCAGUAUUCUGGCGGGCAUGCCUGUCUGAGCGUCAUUUCAACCCUCAUGCCCCUAGGGCGUGGUGUUGGGGAUCGGCCAAAGCCCGCGAGGGACGGCCGGCCCCUAAAUCUAGUGGCGGACCCGUCGUGGCCUCCUCUGCGAAGUAGUGAUAUUCCGCAUCGGAAAGCGAUGAGCCCCUGCCGUUAAACCCCCAACUUUCCAAGGUUGACCUCAGAUCAGGUAGGAAUACCCGCUGAACUUAAGCAUAUCAAUAAGCGGAGGA
rnacentral:misc_RNA from 1 species